rnacentral:rRNA from 1 species
GAUUAACGCUGGCGGCGUGCAUAACACAUGCAAGUCGAACGAUGAAACUUAAAUGAUUUCUUCGGAAUGAACUUAAGUGGAUUAGUGGCGGACGGGUGAGUAACGCGUGAGUAACCUGCCUUACACAAGGGGAUAGCCGUUGGAAACGACGAAUAAUACCCUAUGAAACUAUCACUUCGCAUGAAGCGAUAGUCAAAGUGUUAGCGGUGUAAGAUGGACUUGCGUCUGAUUAGCUAGUUGGUGAGAAAAAAGCCCACCAAGGCAACGAUCAGUAGCCGGCUUGAGAGAGUGUACGGCCACAUUGGGACUGAGACACGGCCCAGACUCCUACGGGAGGCAGCAGUGGGGAAUUUUGCACAAUGGGGGAAACCCUGAUGCAGCGACGCCGCGUGAUUUAGAAGGCCUUCGGGUUGUAAAAAUCUUUUGUAUAGGAAGAAAAUGACAGUACUAUACGAAUAAGGUCCGGCUAAUUACGU